rnacentral:rRNA from 1 species
CCCUUAGAUGUUCUGGGCCGCACGCGCGCUACACUGACGAAUGCAACGAGCUUAUAACCUUGGCCGAAAGGUCUGGGUAAUCUCCAAAUUUCGUCGUGAUGGGGAUAGAUUAUUGCAAUUAUUAAUCUUCAACGAGGAAUGCCUAGUAAGCGCAAGUCAUCAGCUUGCGUUGAUUACGUCCCUGCCCUUUGUACACACCGCCGUCGCUCCUACCGAUUGAAUGGUCCGGUGAAGCGUUCGGACCGUGGCCUUUGGACGGUUCGCCGUCUGUUGGCUGCGGGAAGUUCGUUAAACCUUAUCAUUUAGAGGAAGGAGAAGUCGUAACA